AAAAUUGAUAGUGGGAUUAAAGCUUAAUUAAACACACUAGUAUUCAAAUCCACUUUGCCAUUGCUUGAUUUAUAAUUGAUUACUUCAAAGAAUCUCAAUUUUGCAUAGCAUAUUUUUUGAGUUAGUGGCCCAUGCGUUGAACUUAAACCCCAUCAUGCAUUAGUUAUAAUCCAUUUAAAGGUUAUUUUGAAACCCUAUUUCCCAUUUUCUAAAUCCCAGCCGUUUGGUGUAAAUUAAAGGAGAGAACGCUCUCAUUUUCCGAACUCCUUUCUUCGACCGAGAGACAAGCAUCAGACCACCCUACGCGGUGGUCCUUGAACCGUAAACCAACACCACCUAUUCCCUCUCUCCGAUGACAGUGUUACCCCGACGAACACUCAACAGCAGCAAGUGAUAUCUGGCGUAGGGGAUGACGCACAGCGACUCGAUAUCUCGGUGGUUCGUCGGAGAUACAUGCACGCCGAUGGAAGCUGGAAGGACUUCACUGUUGCGGCUGGGUUCGGUUGGAGCAUUCGGCCAUGGCAGCGUUUGCUGGAGUUAACGUCGGUGGCAGCUGAGUGUUUUAGUUUAGGGUUUCAAAACCCUAAUCUAUAAUGGGCCAGUCUGGAUCCAAGUCUUGUAACUGGGUCUCGUUGGGUUGCAAUUGCUGGUGGACUUUUAGAUUUUCACUUGGGCUUCAGGUUUGGGCUUGUACCUUGUAAUGGGCUAUGGGAUUUAUUUUGUAGGCCUGUAAACAUUUUAAAAUAAUAAUAAUAAUAAUAAUAAUAAUA